rnacentral:rRNA from 1 species
AACGAACGCUGGCGGCAGGCUUAACACAUGCAAGUCGAACGAGAUCUUCGGAUCUAGUGGCAGACGGGUGAGGAACACGUGGGAACAUCCCUUUCAGUUCGGAAUAACGUUGGGAAACUAACGCUAAUACCGGAUACGUCUUUCGGGAGAAAGAUUUAUCGCUGAAAGAUUGGCCCGCGUCUGAUUAGCUAGUUGGUGAGGUAACGGCUCACCAAAGCUACGAUCAGUAGCUGAUCUGAGAGGAUGAUCAGCCAAAUUGGGACUGAGACACGGCCCAAACUCCUACGGGAGGCAGCAGUGGGGAAUAUUGGACAAUGGGCGCAAGCCUGAUCCAGCCAUGCCGCGUGAGUGAUGACGGCCUUCGGGUUGUAAAGCUCUUUUGUCCGGGAAGAUAAUGACUGUACCGGAAGAAUAAGCCCCGGCAAACUUCGUGCCAGCCGCCGCAGUAA